rnacentral:lncRNA from 1 species
UUGCGACAUCUCUUUGUAGGGCGCUGAACCGACCCAGGUAACUUGCGCGAGAAAUGUGCGUGUUGAGCAGGAUACACGCAUUUUGAGGUUAUGAUGGAAUUGGAUUUUUUAGUCGGAGUGGUUUGAAGAUACAGGGGUUGAUUUAAGGCAUGAUGGAACAGAUUUGAUUGGGGAAAUAAUUCGUGGUGUUUCUUUUAUAAAUGGAGAAGCGAAAAGAAUGGAUCUGGUGGAGGAAUUCGACGACCACUUAUAAUUUAUUUCUCAUCGUUGCAACGACACGAAGAGCGAGAAAGGUAGUUAAGCAAAAAUGAAAAAUUGUUAACGUUUACUUGAUCAAGUUUUUGUAAGGCAGUUCCUAAUGACCUGUAGAAAGCGGCAGGAACUUCUAGUUUGUUUCGUGGAAAUAAUCAUUCGGAUAAUGCGGCUGGUUAACAUUACCAGUAGCGUUCCGAACUUGGAACCAUCCACGCUGUUGACAAUAACGCCCCGAUAGUGAUCUCGAAAGAUGGUGUGGGUGACAAUACGGAUGACAAGCGUGUUACGCCAGUGCGAACAGGAUUUAACAUCGUCGUCUCAUUUAGUUGUAUCUUUUUCUUCUUUCCUUUGGAACAGAUUUAUGCCUGUCCAAUUGGAUAGAUUUACAUCUGAGUACACCUGCUCAAUAUAUUAUGUUUUAACACGUCGUUGCUUUGCUUAAUACCAUCGUAAUUCAUAAUA